UUUGAUAUAGUUUAAUUUUAAAAAUGAAAAUUUUGUAAAUUUUUGAUCUAUUAGGUAUCUUAAUAAUAUAUUUAAU
rnacentral:tRNA from 1 species